CCACCACCAUGUCUCUGGGGAUGUCUGCUCCGUCGUCCACGCCUGGGAAACAAACAUGCAGACCACAGGACGUUCGAUCUUUCUCUGCUGGCAGGGACGUUAGGCCCAUUCCUUGUCGGCAGGUCUACUGAGAAGUUGAGGAAACAUUGUUCAUCAGACAACACAACAGUGGAGAAAGAGAGGAAGAGGCAGACAGAGAGGGAUAAAACGCAAAGCUUGGCAGUUCCAAUGCCUGUGUCACUACCCCAGCCCGGCUCCACUGCUCCAGGCAACCGCCCAGGGUAUGGACAAAGAGGACCCGCAC